rfam:Triticum aestivum genome assembly, contig: Triticum_aestivum_CS42_TGACv1_scaffold_487063_6AS
AGAGUACUCCCUUCAUCCAAAAAAAACUUGUCCCUCAAAUGGAUGUAUGUAGCACCAAGUUAGUGCUAGAUACAUCCAUUUGAUAGACAAGCUUGGGACAAGUUUUUUCAGACGAAGAGAGUACCAU